UAUAUAUAAAUAAAGGCAACAGUAGUAUACCGCUGUUCAAACUCAUAAAUCCAUGGACAAAAUCGGGUAACAAACUAAAACUGAGGGAAACGCAUUAAAUAUAAGAGGAAAACAACGACACAACACUACAAUGUAACACACACAGAAACGGACCAAGCAUCAGACAAAAUCCCACGAGAAUAACAAAUAAAACAUCAAAACCAAAUACAUGAAUUUGGGAUAGACAAGUACCGUGACACGUCUUAUCGCAAUGUGAAUUUACA
rnacentral:lncRNA from 1 species